UAUAACGACAAAGACUUCCUGUUCUAGAAUCUUCUAAAUUUUUCUAGAAUGCAAAAGCAAGAGAUAGAAAAAGACGCGAAUAUGUCUGCUUUUUUCUUUUGUUUUCCGGUUUCGAUGCUAAAUAAUGCGGACACGUUUUUUCGCGGUUAAUUACGAUGUGCAAUUAAUUUACGAAGAAAUGUAGUGAAGAAGUUCAAAAGUAUUGUUUUCAUCAAAGUGUAAAUAAAAAGUAUUAUAUUGUAAUUAUAGUGUUGUAAUGCGAAAAAAUGGCUGAAUUUGCAUACAUUAAAUUUUUGAAAAGUGAAGGAGAAGGUGACGCCAAGACUCAAAAAGUCCACACGUCGCAAAUACACAAAUUUCACGAGAUACAGUACACAAUUUUCCAAACCUACAAAGUAGAAGUUAAACCUGGAGUCAUCAAACAUGCCACAGUUUUAUUUAUAGCUGACUCUGAGAUUGAGUUGGAUAAAUUAAUUGAAAGGAAAAAUAGGAUCAGAGAGCCAAAUAAAAAGUACCUAACUGCAGCAUUCGAUACUACUGACAGUGAAACUGACUCAAAAAAAAUUAUUAAAAGAAAAAUUAAAACUUCUGCUUUGUCUGACAGAAUGGAAUCUUUAAAACGGAAGCAAGAAGAUCAAUGUCUUCCAUUUCCUGUUGCAGCGAAAAUACCCAAAAUUAUUGAUAUAAAAAUCCUGAAAUCAGACAAAAAUAUCGUCAAAGCUUCUACAACCAAAGAAACUUCCAAAGAUAUUGAUAAGAAAAGAAUUCCAUUCCAAAUUAUUGACAAUAAUAAACAAGUUUUGGACUGUUCUUCUACACCUCCUGUUAAAAGUAUAGAAGAGAGAAAUAAUAUCAAAAAUAAAGUUUCAAAAAGAAAGUCUUCGAGAAAAAUUCAAGGCGCAAACGCUGUCACACUUAAAGUUGAUGCAUCUGGUAAAGAAAUGGACAUCAGAAAGAAAGGCGAGGAAACAACUACAAACAACGUGAUGAAUCCUCAAAUUAAUCUAAAGAAAUUGACUUCGGCGAACAAAAAUUCUAAAAUUAUUGGAAAGGGAACUUCGGAAAACAAAAAUUAUCCACCUAUUGAAACUGCAAAUUCACCAAAAAAAACUUCUAAAACUAUUAUAAAUACAACUUCGGUCAACAAAAAUUCUCCAGCUAUUGGAAGUGCAAUUUCGAAGAACAAAAAAUCUCCAAUUAUUGGAAAUACAACUUCAGCGCACAAAACUUCUCCAACAACUUCGGCCAAUAAAAAUUCUCCAGCUAUUAAAAGUGCAACUUCGACGGACAAAAAACCUAAAAUUAAUGAAAAUGCAACUUCAAAGAACAAAAAUUCUCUAACUCUUGGAAACGCAAUUGCAGCUAAUAAAAAUUCUUCGGCUAUUGGAAAUAAAACACAAAUUAGUGCUUCGAUAUUUUCAAGUAAAAAUAUAGAUAUACGACCAACCGACAAAAAGUCAGCACCUAAGAAAGGAAAGGUUUCGAACACUUCUUCAACUUCUGUAUCUUUGGACAAAAUUAUUAAAAAAAACGGGCAAUGUUACAAAGAAGGUUUCAACUGAAAAGUUACCUGAAAAAAUUCAAGAUUCAAAUUCUGUCACGCUAGUUAAUAAAACAAAAGUUAACGUAUCUGGCAAGGAAAUGGACAUCACAGAAACUCCAAAGAAUUUGAAAGCAAAAUUUUUUAUAAUCCGAAUCUGCAUAUACCGAAAAAUUAACAGGGUAUCCACUAAGGUGGUCCAAAAGUUGAUGGAAAAAAGUCGAAAUUUUUCUCUCAUCCUCUAGGAUUGAAGUUUAUGAAAAAAAACGUUUGUUGAAAAAAUAACGUUUAAUCGUGCCUCAAAUCCCUUCGAAAUUAACAAGUAAAAUACAUGGUAUAAGAACAGUUUUUCGUAAGUUAGAUAUGAAAUAUAAUAAAAACAUUUGUUAACCAGACUCCCUUAUUGCCUGAAGAAAAUAAAUUUUUAAAUUUAGAAAUGCUCAGAGAAUGACAAAAAAUUAUUUUUAUAAAAUAGGUAAUGUUUGCAGGUUUUACAGGUUCUCCAAAAUAUCUCGUAAAUUUAAAAACAUUAGAGUUUGUUUCUAUUAAAAAUAGUAAAUAUUGAUAUUUUUGUAAAUGAUUUAUUUAAUUAUUUUUUUGUUAUUAUUUUAACAUUUUUGAAGAGAAAUAAAGUAGUCUGGUUGAAAAAUAUUGUUUAUUUUUACAUUUUGUAUUCAAUUUACAAAAAACCGUUAUUUAACAUGUAUAUUUAUAUGGGAAUUUGAAAGGGGUUUGAGAUAAAGCUCAAUGUUUUCUUUCAGCAAACAAAGAACCGUGAGUAUUUUCUUGGAUAAACUUCUGUCCUAAAUCCUGAAAUCACUGAACAAAAAUCGACAUUUGUGGAAAAAAAUUCUUCAAACGAUCAGUACGACCAACACCUGAACAUUGAUUUAAAGGCAACAGAAUCAAAUUUUAAGAAGUUGGUG